CCUCUCCUCCUUCUCCGCAGCCGCUUUUUCGCUCCCUCUCGCCUUCCAGCGUCUCGCUCCCGGAUCAGGUUACAGCUCAUGCACGGCGGGCCGGUGCCUGCCCUGCAACUCGCUGCAAAAAGUUGUUUGCGUCUCUCUCGCUCGCAGGCCCGCCCAUCGGCCGCGCCGAGGGGCUGCCUCUAGUCGCCACACCAGCGACCCCUGGCGGCUGCUUCUCACUGUCUUCCUCGCGUCGACGACGUCUGAGCGAAUGAGGCUGGCCGAACUCGAAGCUCUCUCGAGCGCGGUUCUUCUCGUGGCGCCACGGGCGGCGUUGACCCUUUCCAACUAGAGCUCCUGUGGCUUCCUGUUUCCCAUUAUCGCCGCGUUCUCCUCAAGUGGCCUUAGCCUGCGUUGCCUGUGAAAUCCCAGAGAAGGACAAAACAGGUUUUAGGAUUAGGCUCGAAUUUUCUUAAUCCAUGUGUACUAGUGCAUGGAUUAUAUAUACUAGUAUAUCGCGUUACUGUUUGAUGCUACUACAAAGAGUAAGCUAUUAUUUGUAUACCAGUAAGAGAAGGUGGAUAAACAUGACUUGGACUCUACAUAUCUUGGCACAUGAUGCAGGAAUCUCACGGAAGCUAUCACAUAUUGGUCUGGGCAGUAUUUGGAUGGGACACUUACGGAUCUUGCCCUGAGUUCCACAGAACAGCAAAGAUUGGACUGCUUUGUGGUGAGCCAGAGACAACAGCCUUAGAUCGGCAACUCCCUCAAAAAAGCCAUUAGAAUUUGAGGAAGAGAAAGAAGAAAGGACAAAGGUGGAAUCAAAACGCAUAGAGAAAGAAGGGGAACUGAAAGAUGACAAAGUGGGAAGAUGGGGUUCAGAAAGAUAGAUUUAUUGGGAUAUUGGUUAUAUUUUCCAGUUCUUAUUGUUAACUUGUAUGUUUGUGAUGAGUAUUAUUGUGGUGUUAUGAAUACAGGAAUAA